rnacentral:lncRNA from 1 species
GUCUCGACUGGUCCAUUCCCGGCCCACCCCCAUUAACCGGCUCGAGCCACUCCCAGGACGAAGUCAAGGCCUCGGAAGGCGACUACAACUCCCAGCAGGUCGAGCAGCUCCGCCCGCGCUGAUUCUCCAUUGGCCUUCCGGGGGUGGGGAUUAGAUGGGAGGUGGCCGUGGGGCUGCGGCCGGGAUUUGUCCCCUCUUCGGCUUCCGUAGAGGAAGUGGCGCGGACCUUCAUUUGGGGUUUCGGUUCCCCCCCUUCCCCUUCCCCGGGGUCUGGGGGUGACAUUGCACCGCGCCCCUCGUGGGGUCGCGUUGCCACCCCACGCGGACUCCCCAGCUGGCGCGCCCCUCCCAUUUGCCUGUCCUGGUCAGGCCCCCACCCCCCUUCCCACCUGACCAGCCAUGGGGGCUGCGGUGUUUUUCGGCUGCACUUUCGUCGCGUUCGGCCCGGCCUUCGCGCUUUUCUUGAUCACUGUGGCUGGGGACCCGCUUCGCGUUAUCAUCCUGGUCGCAGGGAGGUGUUCCGCUUUGCCUACUACAAGCUGCUUAAGAAGGCAGAUGAGGGGUUAGCAUCGCUGAGUGAGGACGGAAGAUCACCCAUCUCCAUCCGCCAGAUGGCCUAUGUUUCUGGUCUCUCCUUCGGUAUCAUCAGUGGUGUCUUCUCUGUUAUCAAUAUUUUGGCUGAUGCACUUGGGCCAGGUGUGGUUGGGAUCCAUGGAGACUCACCCUAUUACUUCCUGACUUCAGCCUUUCUGACAGCAGCCAUUAUCCUGCUCCAUACCUUUUGGGGAGUUGUGUUCUUUGAUGCCUGUGAGAGGAGACGGUACUGGGCUUUGGGCCUGGUGGUUGGGAGUCACCUACUGACAUCGGGACUGACAUUCCUGAACCCCUGGUAUGAGGCCAGCCUGCUGCCCAUCUAUGCAGUCACUGUUUCCAUGGGGCUCUGGGCCUUCAUCACAGCUGGAGGGUCCCUCCGAAGUAUUCAGCGCAGCCUCUUGUGUAAGGACUGACUACCUGGACUGAUCGCCUGACAGAUCCCACCUGCCUGUCCACUGCCCAUGACUGAGCCCAGCCCCAGCCCGGGUCCAUUGCCCACAUUCUCUGUCUCCUUCUCGUCGGUCUACCCCACUACCUCCAGGGUUUUGCUUUGUCCUUUUGUGACCGUUAGUCUCUAAGCUUUACCAGGAGCAGCCUGGGUUCAGCCAGUCAGUGACUGGUGGGUUUGAAUCUGCACUUAUCCCCACCACCUGGGGACCCCCUUGUUGUGUCCAGGACUCCCCCUGUGUCAGUGCUCUGCUCUCACCCUGCCCAAGACUCACCUCCCUUCCCCUCUGCAGGCCGACGGCAGGAGGACAGUCGGGUGAUGGUGUAUUCUGCCCUGCGCAUCCCACCCGAGGACUGAGGGAACCUAGGGGGGACCCCUGGGCCUGGGGUGCCCUCCUGAUGUCCUCGCCCUGUAUUUCUCCAUCUCCAGUUCUGGACAGUGCAGGUUGCCAAGAAAAGGGACCUAGUUUAGCCAUUGCCCUGGAGAUGAAAUUAAUGGAGGCUCAAGGAUAGAUGAGCUCUGAGUUUCUCAGUACUCCCUCAAGACUGGACAUCUUGGUCUUUUUCUCAGGCCUGAGGGGGAACCAUUUUUGGUGUGAUAAAUACCCUAAACUGCCUUUUUUUCUUUUUUGAGGUGGGGGGAGGGAGGAGGUAUAUUGGAACUCUUCUAACCUCCUUGGGCUAUAUUUUCUCUCCUCGAGUUGCUCCUCAUGGCUGGGCUCAUUUCGGUCCCUUUCUCCUUGGUCCCAGACCUUGGGGGAAAGGAAGGAAGUGCAUGUUUGGGAACUGGCAUUACUGGAACUAAUGGUUUUAACCUCCUUAACCACCAGCAUCCCUCCUCUCCCCAAGGUGAAGUGGAGGGUGCUGUGGUGAGCUGGCCACUCCAGAGCUGCAGUGCCACUGGAGGAGUCAGACUACCAUGACAUCGUAGGGAAGGAGGGGAGAUUUUUUUGUAGUUUUUAAUUGGGGUGUGGGAGGGGCGGGGAGGUUUUCUAUAAACUGUAUCAUUUUCUGCUGAGGGUGGAGUGUCCCAUCCUUUUAAUCAAGGUGAUUGUGAUUUUGACUAAUAAAAAAGAAUUUGUAAUUGUG